AGUGAACGCUGGCGGUAGGCCUAACACAUGCAAGUCGAACGGCAGCACAGUAAGAGCUUGCUCUUACGGGUGGCGAGUGGCGGACGGGUGAGGAAUACAUCGGAAUCUACUUUUUCGUGGGGGAUAACGUAGGGAAACUUAAGCUAAUACCGCAUACGACCUACGGGUGAAAGCAGGGGAUCUUCGGACCUUGCGCGAUUGAAUGAGCCGAUGUCGGAUUAGCUAGUUGGCGGGGUAAAGGCCAACCAAGGCGACGAUCCGUAGCUGGUCUGAGAGGAUGAUCAGCCACACUGGAACUGAGACACGGUCCAGACUCCUACGGGAGGCAGCAGUGGGGAAUAUUGGACAAUGGGCGCAAGCCUGAUCCAGCCAUACCGCGUGGGUGAAGAAGGCCUUCGGGUUGUAAAGCCCUUUUGUUGGGAAAGAAAAGCAGCAGGUUAAUACCCCGCUGUUCUGACGGUACCCAAAGAAUAAGCACCGGCUAACUUCGUG
rnacentral:rRNA from 1 species